rnacentral:misc_RNA from 1 species
UCCGGCUUAUCACCGGCAGUCCCCUUAGAGUGCCCAACUAAAUGAUGGCAACUAAGGGCGAGGGUUGCGCUCGUUGCGGGACUUAACCCAACAUCUCACGACACGAGCUGACGACAGCCAUGCAGCACCUGUGCAAAGUGUCCUCGCGGAAACGUACAUCUCUGUACGCGGCACUUCCAUGUCAAGUCCUGGUAAGGUUCUGCGCGUUGCGUCGAAUUAAACCACAUGCUCCACCGCUUGUGCGGGCCCCCGUCAACUCCUUUGAGUUUUAGCCUUGCGGCCGUACUCCCCAGGCGGGGCGCUUAAUGCGUUAGCUGCGGCACGGAGAACGUGGAAGGUUCCCCACACCUAGCGCCCAACGUUUACGGCGUGGACUAC